CAGCACACUAGCUGAGCAACAAAUGCAGAAGUCUUGAAUGAAGUUAGACAAGAAGAUAAAUUGGACGUGAUUUUUCCAAUGCAUAAAGGCCUGCCAGGCUCCCCUUCCGAACCCAGGAACUGAACCCUGAGCACUGCAAUCAGACUCUUUAUCAUCUGAACCAACAGGGAAGACCCAAGAAUGAUGGCAAGUGGUGAAGACAGGCAGAACCACCAGAUUAGAAAGAACAUAAAUCACUGAAACCUUGAGGAGGAAAAUUGCCUGCAGGACUUCACAUGAGUGUGACUAAGCACUAAACUUCCACUAUGGCUUCAGAAGAACUAAAAAUAACUGGGUGAAAAAUCUGAAAGGCAAAGCUGCUCUAUCUGCCAGCAUUCUAAGGAGACAGGAUCCAGCUCAAUCAGAAGAGAGUGUAUCUCUGCCCUUCUGGAUGAUUAAAGCAAACUGGCAUCUUGUAUCAGUUUGGGAGCUAGAGCCCCUGGAUUGUCGGAUGCUCAUAGUUAAUAGACUUACAUUUUUCUUCUUCAUCCAUUAACAUUAUUCCUGUGAACACCUAUGCUUCUGUGUAAAAAUGAAACUGCCCUUAAAUUAUGCUUGGUCUUCACUUUCUGUAUCUAAAGUAAAUAAUAAUAAUAAACUAGUAAAUUU
ensembl:lncRNA